GUCUAUAGCCAUACUGCUCUGAAAGCACCCCAUCAUGUCUGAACUGUUAAGCUAAACCUGGCCAGGGAUGGUUAGUACUUGGAUUGGGAAUGCCAUGCAUUUGGAAUAGAGACAAAGCACUUUCAGUUAUACAUC
rnacentral:rRNA from 1 species